UUGAGAACCAGCUCCAAUGUUUCUUCCGUCAAAAAAUUCUCUCGAUCUAGUUCAACUCUUCAGAAAAAUGGAUGGAAUUACAAUAACCGAGCACGCAACGAGGCCAUUAGAAUGUACUUGCAAAUUAACCUCCAGGACCCAUUUCAUGUUGAUGGAUUGAACCUUUCCACUUAUUUACGCCUAAAGAAAGAGAAGUAUUUCAUCGAGGAAUUCAUCCGAGCCCUAGUUGACGAAGGUCUAGUGGCCAACACCGAUGAGGAAAUGGAAUUUUUCUGGCGAUAUGUGGAUGGAAUUGACUAUGAACGCAUCGAUGCGACAGGGCCCAUCUGAAGGAUUCAUCUUCCCCCUCACUUAAUGAAUCCUCAUUAACCGAAUGGC